CACGUAGGGCGCAAGCGUUGUCCGGAAUUAUUGGGCGUAAAGAGCUCGUAGGCGGUCUGUUGCGUCCGCUGUGAAAACUCGGGGCUUAACCCCGAGCCUGCAGUGGAUACGGGCAGACUAGAGGUAGGUAGGGGAGAAUGGAAUUCCCGGUGUAGCGGUGGAAUGCGUAGAGAUCGGGAAGAACAUCUGUGGCGAAGGCGGCCAGCUGGGCUGUUGCUGACGCUGAUGCGCGACAGCGUGGGGAGCAAACAGG
rnacentral:rRNA from 1 species